rnacentral:rRNA from 1 species
UACGUAGGGGGCAAGCGUUGUCCGGAAUCAUUGGGCGUAAAGCGCGUGUAGGCGGUUCGAUUAGUCUGCUGUGAAAGUCGGGGGCUCAACCCUCGAAUGCCGGUGGAUACUGUCGGGCUAGAGUGCGGAAGAGGCGAGUGGAAUUCCUGGUGUAGCGGUGAAAUGCGCAGAUAUCAGGAGGAACACCAAUUGCGAAGGCAGCUCGCUGGGACGGAACUGACGCUGAGGCGCGAAAGCGUGGGGAGCGAACAGG